rnacentral:sRNA from 1 species
CUAGUCUAAGGAAUCAUGGAAAAUAGGAGCAUUAUAUACACAUGGAAUAGAAGUUAUGUAUCAAGGGAUAUAGAUACAUUUUCGUAAGGAUUCUUUGGUAUUCUAUAAUGGACCUAAGACCUUAAUCGUCAUGGUGUAAAAAGAGAAACCAGAAGUGCUGAUCCUGCCAGAUAAUCCCCAGCACCUGUAAACGCUCCAAAUUAUGGAGGAGAAGGAAGGGGAAGGAGAAGGAGGAGGGUCGAGUGGGCAAUAUCCGCGCGCCUCGUAAUUGGCAGUCAUUAGCGCGCCUCUAAUGGCAUCAACUUCUGGCCAUUGCUGUUGCUAUUUAUGCGUGUAAACAGGCAACAGGGCAAAGUUCAACAAAAAGUACUUGAAAACAGAAUCAAAACUACGAAACAAUGGCAAACAAUAAUCGCGAUGCCGGUUGAAAAUACGCCAAAUUAAAAGUUUCAAGUUUAAAUCCGAAAGCCGGAGGGCCAACGGCCUUCCUCUCCGGACGUAUCCAGUGGGCCCCCCGGGGCCCAGUUCAUAGCAUAUUUCCUUCUCCGGCCGGAGAACACUGCUCUUGGCUUAUUUUGCGUGUUUGGGCUGUGUAAAUUGUGCAGGCGAACAGCUGCCAGAAAUUAACUACCAACCUGCAACUAUCUUCUGGAAAAGGUGUUGCAUGCUCUGCAUGCUCUGCCUCUCUAUGCUCAUUUCAUUUUAGCCUCGUUCUCCGUUUUGUUUCACGGCUCUUAAACGUGGCCGGUGGGCUAACCUGUUUUCGGAACGGAAAUGAAAUGUUUCGUUGGCAGCCGCAACGCUGUGAACUCGUAAAUAAAGCAUCAAAUCGUGCAUCUUUACGGACUUCUGAUGGGUCUGAAAUAGUUGGGCUUUAUGCCGGAGUUAAGUUCAGUUCGCCUUUUCCAUUUUAGAAGCCUGCCCAGGUGACAUGAACGACACAACUUUUGCCGGCAAAUGUUACCCAAUGCAGUUGUAAUCAGACUUUUGCGAUAAUGGUUUAUUGGGCUAUGAGCAUGCAUCGCAAGAGCUGUUCAAAGUUAUUGGAUUGGUCAAAAACAUUUGCUAGGUCUAUAGUUAAGAGGCUCCAACCGAUGAUAGUCAUUUGAAUUGAUAGUUAAAUUGCUGUUGUCUACAAAAAUGCAUAAAAAUACAUUAGGACUACCAUUCAGCUCUAUAUUCAACGAAAAUGUAUAGUUUAAAGAUCUUAACAGAGAAUAUUUUGGUGUAAGAAACAAAGACAUCUAACAAUUAUAUUAAUAAAAGUUACAAUCGUUAUGGGCUGAGUUACUCGCUUAAAUUCUCUGGUCAACUUCUGUCGAUUACUUAAAUUAUUAUUGAUAAACUGAGCUUGAGCCCUAUAUUUCUGUCCAAACUAUUUUUACAGCACACUUAAAAGUAAAACUAGAGGCAAUAAUAGAAGGGUGCCUGCCAGACGUUGAUAUCAAUAUGUUUGAAAGUCCGCCCUUAUGAUUGGGGAACCUUGAUUAACUUUCCAGCUGACUCGGCCAUGAGCCUGAACAUGCAAACGAUUUCGGGUUUGGAAAAAUAAAAGUCUACUUUCUGGCGGCCGCAAACUGACAGGAACCAUUUUAAACUGACAUUUCAUUAAAAUUCCUUGUCCCCUCCCUUCGAGUUCGUAUUGAUUUUUUCAUAAUUUAGCGGAAUUGAAAGCAAAGUUGCCGGCAUGUGUGCUAUGUGUCCUUUGUCAUACACAAACACACACACACAUUUAAAUCCGCAUUGCAUGCCCAGAAAAGUAGACUACAAAAGACAACAGGCAAGCGACAGCACUGCAAAUGGUUCCGGGGAGGGGGUGGCGGUGGAGCUGGAACGGCGAGCAUGCGGGCCACGUCAGGAGUCGGACUCGGAGUCGGGGACAGGUGAUGGCUCUCUGGGUUCAGGCUUUAGGCCCACGGCCUGACCACAAUCCGAAGCCAUAUCGAGGCGAAUGUGUCGAAAGUACCUCCCCGCUUCUGGUGGCCAGCACUCUUGGAUGUUUGGUGCCAUUGGAUAUUGAUGGCGAUGUAGAUCACUGAUGUUUAUUAAUUAUCACGAGUUAAAGGUUUUGCUUUUUCUAAUUGGCACAACAGAAUACACUGACAAAAUUUAUUCAUUCAUUCACUGUACUCUCAAUUCAAGUAAAUAUGAAUAACCAUCUAUAACUGCAUA